rnacentral:snRNA from 1 species
GGUGUGGGCUGCAGCUAAGACUGACACCCCACUGUUCACCGCGAUGAUGAGGCUGCUCUGACUAGCUAGGCCGGUGUAUCCCUUUCCACCUUGACUGCUCCACACCAUGUGAGUGCCGCCUGAAGCUGCUCACUUGGUCAACUGCAUACUUGGUCGAAGAGGAAACCCUUUCCCAAAUAGAGGAAUACUGGUCCCCCAUCAAGGGUAUACUAGUAGCUGCACUCCCCUGCUAGAACCUCCAAAUCUCAAGACUCUUUUAUUAAGAGACCCUUGAAAUCUAGUCACCUGUAGUUAUGAGAGGGAACCACCCACCAUCAUGUUGCU